rnacentral:other from 1 species
UUCCCUAGGUUGUUUGCCAGUCGAUAUGUCCUCGACCCUUUAAGCGAUAACCAGGAGGUUCUUUAACUUGAUUGAUGUGCAUGUCCGGACUCCGGGAAGCCUAAUGUCAAUUAGGGGCCCCCGCCUUGAACCGCAGGGUUCAAGGGCCUAUUAGCACAGCGGCAAUUUGGGGAAU